UACGUAGGGCGCAAGCGUUGUCCGGAAUUAUUGGGCGUAAAGAGCUCGUAGGCGGCUUGUCACGUCGGGGUGUGAAAGCCCGGGGCUUAACCCCGGGUCUGCAUUCGAUACGGGCUAGCUAGAGUGUGGUAGGGGGAGAUCGAAUUCCUGGUGUAGCGGUGAAAUGCGCAGAUAUCAGGAGGAACACCGGUGGCGAAGGCGGAUCUCUGGGCCAUUACUGACGCUGAGGAGCGAAAGCGUGGGGAGCGAACAGG
rnacentral:rRNA from 1 species